AUGAACGCUGGCGGCGUGCCUCAUCCCUGCAAGUCGAGCGAACAGAUGAGGAGCUUGCUCCUCUGACGUUAGCGGCGGACGGGUGAGUAACACGUGGAUAACCUACCUAUAAGACUGGGAUAACUUCGGGAAACCGGAGCUAAUACCGGAUAAUAUAUUGAACCGCAUGGUUCAAUAGUGAAAGACGGUUUUGCUGUCACUUAUAGAUGGAUCCGCGCCGCAUUAGCUAGUUGGUAAGGUAACGGCUUACCAAGGCAACGAUGCGUAGCCGACCUGAGAGGGUGAUCGGCCACACUGGAACUGACACACGGUCCAGACUCCUACGGGAGGCAGCAGUAGGGAAUCUUCCGCAAUGGGCGAAAGCCUGACGGAGCAACGCCGCGUGAGUGAUGAAGGUCUUCGGAUCGUAAAACUCUGUUAUUAGGGAAGAACAAAUGUGUAAGUAACUAUGCACGUCUUGACGGUACCUAAUCAGAAAGCCACGGCUAACUACGUG
rnacentral:rRNA from 1 species